rnacentral:rRNA from 1 species
AACAGGAUUAGAUACCCUGGUAGUGCACGCCGUAAACGAUGUCGACUUGGAGGUUGUGCCCUUGAGGCGUGGCUUCCGGAGCUAACGCGUUAAGUCGACCGCCUGGGGAGUACGGCCGCAAGGUUAAAACUCAAAUGAAUUGACGGGGGCCCGCACAAGCGGUGGAGCAUGUGGUUUAAUUCGAUGCAACGCGAAGAACCUUACCUGGUCUUGACAUCCACAGAACUUGGCAGAGAUGCCUUGGUGCCUUCGGGAACUGUGAGACAGGUGCUGCAUGGCUGUCGUCAGCUCGUGUUGUGAAAUGUUGGGUUAAGUCCCGCAACGAGCGCAACCCUUAUCCUUUGUUGCCAGCGGUCCGGCCGGGAACUCAAAGGAGACUGCCAGUGAUAAACUGGAGGAAGGUGGGGAUGACGUCAAGUCAUCAUGGCCCUUACGACCAGGGCUACACACGUGCUACAAUGGCGCAUACAAAGAGAAGCAAUCUCGCGAGAGCUAGCGGACCUCAUAAAGUGCGUCGUAGUCCGGAUUGGAGUCUGCAACUCGACUCCAUGAAGUCGGAAUCGCUAGUAAUCGUGAAUCAGAAUGUCACGGUGAAUACGUUCCCGGGCCUUGUACACACCGCCCGUCACACCAUGGGAGUGGGUUGCAAAAGAAGUAGGUAGCUUAACCUUCGGGAGGGCGCUUACCACUUUGUGAUUCAUGACUGGGGUGAAGUCGUAACAAGGUAACC